GAGAGCGGAAUUGCGCUAAGGAUAUCGGGGUUGUGGAGGUCAACUGCCGAUUGGGAAACAAGAUGCAAGAGAGGAAGAUGCGCUGGAGAAUCGGACGAAGCGCCAACCAAUGACGUGUCGGGCAACAGAAUGUCAAUUCGCAUUGUAAUAAUUGUCUAGAUCGGAGUAGAGUUUUGGCUUGUAUGUGCAGGAUUAACUACGAUAACAACGAAGACAUAAAGCGAAACAAAGUGUCGAAGUCAAGCACGAAGGAUUUGUUGCAAGUUCGAGAGUUCGACG
rnacentral:lncRNA from 1 species